rnacentral:rRNA from 1 species
UACGAAGGGUGCAAGCGUUAAUCGGAAUUACUGGGCGUAAAGCGUGCGUAGACGGCUUUUUAAGUCGACUGUGAAACCCCCGGGCUCAACCUGGGACCUGCAGUCGAUACUGGAAAGCUUGGAGUUUGAGAGAGGGUGGUGGAAUUCCUGGUGUAGCGGUGAAAUGCGUAGAGAUCAGGAGGAACACUAGUGGCGAAGGCGGCCACCUGGCUUAAAACUGACGUUGAGGCACGAAAGCGUGGGGAGCAAACAGG